rnacentral:lncRNA from 1 species
UGAUAUCCAUAUGGAGAUGUCUGAUCAAAGCACCAAGAUCAUCAGUAUGCUAGCACCUUGUAGUUCUCGCUCUUCAAUCUUGGAUCUAGAUCUCUUCUUCCAGAUAUUGAAGAAGGAGAUUGCUGUGUGAACUCUUUCGCACAGAUCCGAUGGGAUAUGAACCAGAUCAUCGUGAAGAGAAGAAGAACCCUUUUUCUACUCUUCUU